rnacentral:lncRNA from 1 species
UCUAUCUACACCUGUAAAAAUUUUCCACUGACUGAUAAUAACGAAAUGACGUAAAGCGAGGUCAGAUGCUUGCUCAGGAUAUCCCGAGAAAGACCUGACUACCGAGACAGUCGAGUAUGGCCGAUCGCAGAAAUCAGCAAGGGUCAGUGCCAGGGCAAGCGCCAGCAGUGCUCACGAUUGCAGUUACUUCGGCAUAUAAUUCCAUAAACAUGUCAGCAGGUGGCUAUUUCCUUGUCGGUAGAGUAUCUUGCGUUGAAUGGUCAGUGAGUGUCAUCAGCGCCGCAGCGAUCCAUAAAUUUGAACGCUCGAAUCCUGUGCCAUCGCCAUCGUGGCGUCAUAUCUCUAAGCGCCUCCAGUUCAACCGCUGUUGCCGACAAGGGGUAACUUGACGUUAGUGCGGGUUCCACUUCGUCACCCUUAAGGAAGCCUGGCCAAGUGAUGCUUCUCUUUGGCGUCCGCUGUUGUUGUCAUCGUCGCCGUUGGUGUCUCGUAGUUGUCGUCUGCUAACAUAAACCGGACCGUUAACAUGAUGUUAUGAUCUUGCUAACGUCGACGCCUGCCAACUGCCGAAGACCUAACUGCUACGGUUGUUUACCAUCAGACUGUAAUUUGCGGCGUAGCUAUGAGCGGCAUGAUCACCAUCAACGAUAACAAUAAAGACGAACGAAACCAGCUGCCAACAAGAAUCACUGUCAAACUUAACUCACUAAUACAGUACAACUACAGCCCGUUCUAGAACAACCAAACUGAAUGAUACGCUCUGGCCGCACUAACCCCCCCAGUUUUUCCUGGAUACUGUACCAGCUUUGAGCCGUUGCCACUAGUGCUAUCGUGUCUGCGUCUGACCGCCACGGUUGUAACUGGCACUUCCAAAAUUGAAGUCACAAACCUUUGUCAUUAUGAUUAACUCGAUUAAUGAAGAAGAAUGCCGUUUAUUGUAUUUAUCAAAGAACAACUGAUGAAGUUGAUUGUAGCAAAUGAUGGGAUAGCAGAGCCAAUUUACUUUUGCCAAAGGCCAGUAUCGGACUCCAUUGACCCGCGGAUGUUAAGGGUUAUCGGCUGAUGAAAAACAAACGGUAAGACACCGUGGACAACAACAACAGCAACAGCAGCAGACUGUAUUCAUCUCACACAUAAUCGUCUUUAUCAGUUGUUGACUCAGGACGUGUAGCGUCUGGCCUGAGUCUCCAUCAAGUCUAAGACAGCCCGCAAUAUCAUCGGACGCACUAUAACGGCACAUAGUUGCCGCUCAUCACUUUGACAACGCUACGCAAUCAGCCAGUUUACUUGCUUGCACAUUAUAUAGAUAUAUAUCGCCAACGUGACGUAGAUACUACAAAUUUUCUAUAAAUAGAAUAGGUUACUUGGAGAUACUUGUGUUGGUCACGUAUUACACCCAUCGUUGAGGCGCGACCACAAUUUUCAGCUAUUACGUGAUCUACUUGUAGUCUAAAUGAUGGACCUGGCAGCUAAAGAUCGGUAGCUAACACUUGUUGACUAAUCGCUUAUUCGGGAAUCAAGACUGGAGAACAAAGACUUAGCUAAGGCCGAGAAGACAUUGAUAGCGUGGCUAUCGUACGAGCUAUUCUUGACCGGUCACUUCGCUCCUUCCCGGCCCGCUUCAGAGCGUCCUCUCCGAAGAAGCGAAGUCAUGUCAUCUCGAACACAUCGGACUGUCCAUCCAUUGACAAUUCCAUCCAAGUCUGCGUUAAGUCACUUAAAGAAUCUUACGUAGAAGAUACAAUAAACAGGGCGAUAGACAGACGACAGCAAGGCCUGAUCAUUUGCUUUCAGGAUGGCGGUAGCUGUACGCGAGUUCGACGCUAACGGAGAAAGGAUCGUCUACGAAUGCUAGAAGCUAUUUACAGGUGGAGUUUUUUGAUUUCGUCUGACUUGAACUCGGUUCUCAAUCCGAGUGC